rnacentral:rRNA from 1 species
UACGUAGGGCGCAAGCGUUGUCCGGAAUUAUUGGGCGUAAAGAGCUCGUAGGCGGUCUGUUACGUCCGCUGUGAAAACCCGGGGCUUAACCCUGGGCUGGCAGUGGAUACGGGUAGACUAGAGGCAGGUAGGGGAGAAUGGAAUUCCCGGUGUAGCGGUGAAAUGCGCAGAUAUCGGGAGGAACACCGGUGGCGAAGGCGGUCUCUGGGCCUGUACUGACGCUGAGGAGCGAAAGCGUGGGGAGCGAACAGG